GAGGAGUUAGCGAAAUUCCAAUGUGUGCGAAUCGGCAAAAAAUGCAAAAUAGCCCUUUUACCGUACAUUAUACAGAUACGCGCUCUUUGACUUUUUCGUAGAUCUAAUUGAGAUACACAUGAUUGUCAAUUUUUGUGUCAUUUUGCCAAAGCGUACAGGCGUGACAGUCAACAAUGUGUAUUUUCACCUUAGGGGACAAGAAAAAAUGGACUUUUUUCUCCUGCCAUGGGGGGGCGCUCUUUUAGGGAGUAAAAAUUCCUUCACAAAUGUGUUGAUGGCUGGACAUUGCAUCAUCCUAGAAAACUUGGAGGCCAGUGAGGACAAAAAUAAAAAGUUAUAAGACUUUUAAAAAUGUGGAUUUUUGGGUUAUCUUUGGCGCCCCCUAGAACGUAAACCGUGGGGUGCAGCGUCAUGAUUUGAAUAACUUUUAAUGGCCAUGGGGUGUAGAUUGGCCUGAGCAAAUGUGGUGCCGGUGGAACGAAAGCCUUCGGAGGAGUUAGCGAAAUUCCACUGUGUGCGAAUCGGCAAAAAAUGCGGAAUAACCCUUUAACCGUACAUUUGACAGAUACGCGCGCAUGGACUUUUUUGUAGAUCUUAUUGAGAUACAUGUGUGUGUCAAUUUUUGUGUCAUUUUGACAAAGCGUACAGGCGUGACACUCAACAAUGUGUAUUUUCACCUUAGGGGACAAGAAAAAAUGGACUUUUUUCUCCUGCCAUGGGGGGGCGCUCUUUUGGGGAGUAAAAAUUCCUUCACAAAUGUGUUGAUGGCUGGACAUUGCAUCAUCCUAGAAAACUUGGAGGCCAGUGAGGGCAAAAAUAAAAAGUUAUAAGACUUUUAAAUAUGUGGAUUUUAGGGUUAUCUUUGGCGCCCCCUAGAACCUAAACCGUGGGGUGCAGCGUCAUGAUUUGAAUAACUUUUAAUGGCCAUGGGGUGUAGAUUGGCCUGAGCAAAUGUGGUGCCGGUGGAACGAAAGCCUUCAAAGGAGUUAGCGAAAUUCCAAUGUGUGCGGAUCGGCAAAAAAUGCGAAAUAACCCUUUAACCGUACAUUUGACAGAUACGCCCGCACUGACUUUUUUGUAGAUCUUAUUGAGAUACAUGUGUGUGUCAAAUUUUGUGUCAUUUUGACAAAGCGUACAGGCGUGACACUCAAUAGUGUGAAUUUUCACCUUAGGGGGCGCUAUGGAGCCAUUUUGCAUUUUCUUGUUUGGGCGACUUCGGAAUAUCAAAUUUUUCACCAGGCCCGGUCGUCCUGCCAAAUUUCAUGAGUUUUCGCCAGUGGGAAGUGGGCCAUUUUCCAGUUCAAAGGGGAGGAAAAAGAAAAAAGAAACAAAGAAAAACCCCUUGGGGAAUAAUAGGGCUCUCGCAGCUGCUUAGCAGCUACGCUCGGGCCCUAAAGAAACAAAGAAAAACCACUUGGGGAAUAAUAGGGCUCUCGCAGCUGCUUAGCAGCUACGCUCGGGCCCUAAUAAUAACAAAAGAAGGAAACAUGCAGGAACAAGAGGGCUCUCGCAGCUGCUUAGCAGCUACGCUCGGGCCCUAACUAGGACCCCGUUGGGGCACUGGCGGGCCCGAGCCGUGUCGCGUCCCCCCCCCCAACGUGCUGCCUUCCCGUCCCAUUUGUGUCCUCUGGCCAUCGCCCUCUCUGGUAACGCCCAUCACUGCAAAGACCCUUUUCCUUCAUCGGCGUUUGCUGUUCUUCCUGCCAGUGCGUGUUGCUUUCACUUACACUUGCCACAGCCAGCCUCGUGAGUGCCUAGCCUAUUGGAUAUCACUGUCACCUACACAGGACAGUCAUUACCUUUCUAUUAAUACUUUGUGUUUUAAUUUCACAUUAAUUUCCAUAUUGUAUAAACGACUGGAAAAAACUUGAGCCCCUGCCCCUGUAUAAUCAUGUGCAUGUCUCUGUUCUAGCUCCAAGGUGAAUCUUCACUGCUCAUGUUCUCCUCAGAAGCACUCACCUCACUCCCCUCAGGUUACUGUACACAUGCACCAACUGCCUGCUUCAGGUUUGGAUGGAGCUUCAUGGUUGUCUUUUGGAGAAAUGACCAGUCAAGUUGUGUUUGAAAUUUGAUUUUUUUCAGGGGCAAAAGGAGCCUCUGCAUUCUUGUCAAAUAUGUAAAUAGCAUGUUUUUGCAGGUGCUAAAAACCAGACUCUGAGUGUGUGUGUGUGUGUGUGUGUGUGUGUGUGUGCGUGUGUGUGUGUCUGUGUGUGCGUUCAAGUCACAUGACAUAUUUAACCGGAUGUAGCUGCAAGACGGAGCCUCGUUGACUCUCCGUUUCAACUUAUCUCAAAAGUGAGGACCUCAACCUAUAUACCAGUUUUUAAAUUGUGUUGAUAGGCCAAAUAAAACCAGAGUUAUGAUAAAUUAUGUCCGCGAUACUUUUUUUCUGCUUAUUUUGAUCACGUUCGGCGCUCGAUCGCGCUGUAUGAGACAGGAAAACAUAGCAUGCAGACAUUAGCGACAGGUCUUACAGGCGGAAAAGGCUUGCCAAAAGAAAAAAAAAACACACCACAACAUCUCUCCUAUUGGUGGAAAACUUCACCACAACAACCAAUCCAAAAUUAUAUGGUGACUGAUUGACAAGGGGCGGGCGCUUACGUUCUUCCUGCAACAUGAGAAGCGAGGGAGGGACUCUCAGCAGGGAUGCAGUCUGGGACACGUAGUUGCAAACCUAGCGA
rnacentral:lncRNA from 1 species